UACGACCAUAUGACGUUGAAACACUGGUUCUUGUACGACCACUGAAGUUAAGCAAUGUCGAGCCUGGUCAGUACCUAGAUGAGUGACCGCUUGGGAAUACCAUGUAUUGG